rfam:Ornithorhynchus anatinus chromosome X1, whole genome shotgun sequence.
CUGUGUGAGGAGGACACAUGUGGUGCAGUAUGAUACUAGCAUAUGCUGCAUCAUGCGUGACCUCCCCACACCGU